rnacentral:rRNA from 1 species
AUGUCCACCGUCGAGAUGGAGGUGUUCUCCAACGGGCAGCUCCUCGUCCUGACCGUGCUCAUGCUCGUCGGCGGUGAGGUGUUUUUAUCCCUCAUAGGCCUCGCGUCCAAGUGGUCCAAGCUGAGGAAGCAGGCUGCACACAAAUCCCGGCGCGUGGAGAUCCACCACGUCGCCGAGCUUGAGAUGCCGCCAGCCGCCGCCGCUGACAUCGAUAACCCAACGUCUACCGCCGAUGAUGAGACGAGCAAGUCGCUGGAGCACGUACAUGACACGAGGCUGCGGCGCGACGCGGUGCGGUCGCUGUUCUUCGUCGUCCUCGCCAUCCUCCUGGCGGUGCACGUCCUCGGUGCCGGCGCCAUCGUGGCGUACAUCGUGCACGCGUCGCCGGCGGCGAGGCGGACGCUGCGGGACAAGGCUCUGAACGUGUGGACCUUCGCCGUGUUCACGACGGUGUCCACGUUCUCGAGCUGCGGGUACAUGCCGACGAACGAGAACAUGAUCGUCUUCAAGCAGGACACCGGGCUGCAGCUGCUGCUCGUGCCGCAGGCGCUGGUCGGGAACACGCUGUUCCCGCCGCUGCUAGCCGCGUGCGUGCGCACCGCCGCCGCCGCGACCAGGCGCGUGGAGCUCAGGGAGACGGUGAAACAGGGCGGGGAGCUGACAGGGUACUACCACCUGCUCCCGGCGCGGCGGUGCGCGAUGCUGGCGGCGACGGUGGUGGGCUUCCUCGCCGUGCAGGUGGCUAUGCUGUGCGGCAUGGAGUGGGGCGGCGCGCUGCGCGGGAUGAGCCCGUGGGAGAAGGUGUCGAACGCGGUGUUCCUGGCGGUGAACUCCCGGCACACCGGCGAGUCGACCCUCGACCUCUCCACCCUCGCGCCGGCCAUCCUCGUGCUCUUCGUGCUCAUGAUGUAUCUGCCUCCAUACACGACAUGGCUUCCAUUUGGAGAGAGCUCCAGCGUGAAGGACCAUCCCAGGGAGGAGACCCAGGGGGUGAGGCUGCUCAAGAGCACGCUUCUGUCACAACUCUCAUACCUCGCCAUCUUUGUCAUCGCCAUCUGCGUCACCGAGAGGGAAAAGCUCAAGGAGGACCCCCUCAACUUCAACUUGCUCAGCAUCGUCGUCGAAGUCGUCAGCGCUUAUGGAAACGUGGGAUUCUCCAUGGGCUACAGCUGCAGUAGGCAGAUCAGCCCGGACGGGAUGUGCACUGACAGGUGGACCGGCUUUGCUGGGAGGUGGAGCGAUUCCGGCAAACUCAUCCUCAUUCUUGUCAUGCUCUUCGGGAGGAUGAAAAAGUUCAGCAUGAAAGCGGGCAAAUCCUGGAAGCUUAGUUAG